GGCUUAACCCAAAUAGGAAAAAUGGAGAAGCCCAUAGAGAAGGCCCAAUGGAAAGUUUGUCGUGGAGGCGUGCCGAACGAAGUAUGUGACCGACAAAUAGGAAUAAUUAUAUACGCGUACGAAUCAAUAGUGAAGUAAUA